rnacentral:rRNA from 1 species
AGAGUUUGAUCAUGGCUCAGGAUGAACGCUGGCGGUAUGCCUAACACAUGCAAGUCGAACGAUGUCUUCGGACAUAGUGGCGGACGGGUGAGUAACGCGUGAGAAUCUGCCUCUAGGAUGGGGAUAACGGUUGGAAACGACCGCUAACACCCAAUAUGCCGUAAGGUGAAAAAUUUAUUGCCUGGAGAGGAGCUCGCGUCUGAUUAGCUAGUUGGUGGGGUAAGAGCUCACCAAGGCCUCGAUCAGUAGCUGGUCUGAGAGGAUGAGCAGCCACACUGGGACUGAGACACGGCCCAGACUCCUACGGGAGGCAGCAGUGGGGAAUUUUCCGCAAUGGGCGAAAGCCUGACGGAGCAAUACCGCGUGAGGGAGGAAUGCCUUUGGGUUGUAAACCUCUUUUCUCAGGGAAGAAGAUCUGACGGUACCUGAGGAAUAAGUAUCGGCUAACUCCGUGCCAGCAGCCGCGGUAAUACGGAGGAUGCAAGCGUUAUCCGGAAUCAUUGGGCGUAAAGCGUCCGCAGGUGGUUUCCAAAGUCUGCUGUUAAAGACUGGAGCUCAACUCCGGAACGGCGGUGGAAACUUGGAAACUAGAGUUCGGUAGGGGCAGCAGGAAUUCCCAGUGUAGCGGUGAAAUGCGUAGAUAUUGGGAAGAACAUCGGUGGCGAAGGCGUGCUACUGGACCGUAACUGACACUCAGGGACGAAAGCUAGGGGAGCGAAAGGGAUUAGAUACCCCUGUAGUCCUAGCUGUAAACGAUGGAAACUAGGUGUGGCUUGUAUCGACCCGAGCCGUGCCGUAGCUAACGCGUU